CUCCGAGCGCCACGGACUUCGCCCCGGGCGCCGUCCCCGGCGGGCCCCGGCUUCCGCGCGCACCCCUGCCGCGCGGUUCUCGGGCAGUCGGCGCAAGUCUCAACCGGCUCGGAACGAGAGGCACCUGCCCGUCCGCCAGCCUCAAAACAGCGCGCGGUGCCGCUCCCGGGAUACCUGGGUUCCCGCUGGUCCUGCCACGACCCCCGGGGCGCUCCUCGCUGCGGCCUUAUUAGGAGGCGGCCCCCGCAGGGAGCAGGAAGCAGAAAGUCUCUGCAAACCCUUCCAGAGGGCGGACGACGGUGGAGUGCUGAAUUAUACCCAUAUGGCCAACAGCUCAUUGGCCCCAUGAAGUCGGGGGCGCUGAUUGAGAAGCGUUAUGAUGAGGUCACUGCCAGCCGUGAAUGCGCUCUCUGCGUGCCAGGAACGACCGCAUCCUGUUCCACGUCCUGGAACUGCUGGGCUCAGGUGUGCAGCCCCGUGGCCAGGUAAUCUGAGCAAGAAUACACAGCGAGGCCCACAUUCCUGAGCCAUGAGCUGGGCUUUUUGUUUGUUCACUCCUUAUAAGGAGCAGGCUCCCCUCAUCAAGCAGAAAGGUCACUGGCAUUUCUUUCUUCCUCUUCAAGUGGCUGGAAAAUCAGCUUCUUUCCUCGGAGGGGUGGGGUGGUGAUUAAACAGGGUAACUAUGACAGCCUCGGGAUAUGUAAGCAUGGCCUGGCGACAGACCCCUGGACCCUUUUUUCUCCCCCCUCAGUGGCAUGAGAUUUUGGCCUGAUCCUAGGGACUCAAAAAGCCAGCCUUUCCUUCCCCUAAAGGCAAGUCAGCCUAAAGAGCCUAUGGGGAGGGGGGCGUUCCCACCAUGGCUCAGCAGUAAUGAACCCAAGUAUCCAUGAGGACAUGGGUUCGAUCCCUGGCCUUGCUCAGUGGGUUAAGGAUCCCACGUUGCUGUGUCUGCGGUGUAGGUUGUAGAUGUGGCUGGGAUCCCACGUUGCUGUGGCUGUGGUGUAGGCGGGCAGCUGCAGCUCAGAUUCAUCCCCUAGCCUGGGAACCUCCAUAGGCCACAGGAACAGCUCUAAAAGACAAAAACAAAAAAACAAACUUGUUUUGCAGCCAGGGGCCCAGGCACAACAGUUGGCCUGCAGAAGGAGCUGGAACGUGCUGUUACCCUCCCACAGUCACUGGUCCCUCCUCCUUCUCCCUCACAGCAGCCCUGGAGCAUUGGUGCAGGAGCAGGUGGCUGCUGGCAGGAGCAGGGGACCCAGAAGCUGCUAAGUGAAGCUCUCUCUGUGUAGCUCUCCUCCUCUCAGGAGGAUCAGCUCUUCACACGUCACAGCAGCAGGGACGUGAGGUGGCCACCCUGGGAUCCAAGCCCACCUCCCCUGUCCUGGGGACUCCCACCGCACCCCCUCGAACGCCAGUGGCCAACCCGACACUUGCUUCCCCUGGUCUUUUAUGUGGACUAUGGUGCUUUGCUGGUCACGCUGGUCUCACCUCCCCGCCAAGACCGCAAGUUCCUCAGAGGCAGGGGGGCGGCUUGCACUUGUCUGAGACCCUACACUAGUGCUGGGGUUUAAACAGGUGCUCUCUGAGAGCCGGGCACUGGCUCAGUGCAAAGCAGAUUCGGCUCCGUGCUCCAUAAAGCCUGGUCCCCUCUCCAGGCUGUGCUGAGAAUGAGCCUGGGGUUCAGAGUUGGUCACCUGAAGGCACCCGGGCCUCCGCCACCUGACGCAUCUCCUGGCUGUCCCUGCCAGCUGACCGGGCCCCGCGCGGCCCCCUCCCUUCCUCUUGCAGGUGUCCAUCGUUAAAAUCCACUUUGCAGAGGUGCUCCUGUCCCGUGCAAGUGAGCCCCACUGCGUGCCCAGACCUGUGCUGGGACAUCAGUGCAAAGGAAGCAGAACUACCCCCCUGCCCGAGAGCCUUCUGUGUAGCUCGGGGGUGAAAGCACCCUGGCCGGUACCUCCGUGCCCCCCCACCACAGCCUUCCUCCCACCCCUCGGGACGUCGGUGAGGCUUUUCCCAUCUAUUCCAUUUCCUUCCCACAGCCGGGAACACGGACAACUUCUUAACGUCCUCUCUGAGCUUCCCUGACAUCCUUCACGGACCUCCUGGUCUUUUUUUGAAAAGUUUCACUGUUAAUCAUCACAGAAGCAAAUAAGAAUACCAGGCAUGGGGAAGUUACAAAGGCUCCCAAAUCUUUACCUUUUUUUUUUUUCUCUCUCUCUCUCUUUUUCAGGGCUGCACUUGCAGCAUAUGGAAGUUUCCAGGCGAGGAGAUGAAUCAGAGCUACAGCUGCUGGCCUACGCCACAGCCACAGCAACAACAGAUCCGAGCUGUCUGCGACCUACAUCACAGCUCACGGCAACCCUGGAUCCUUAACCCACGGAGCAGGACCAGGGAUUGAACCUACGUCCUCUUGGAUACUAGUCAGGUUCAUUACUGCUGAGCCACAAGGGGAACUCCCCAAAUCUUUCACUUGAGCCACUGCUUACGGAAAGUAAAUUUGGUGCAAUUUUCCUGGGCACUGUUGCCUUUAAAAGUUUGUGUACCACCAUAUGUAAAAAUAAACUCAAAAUGGAUUAAAGACUUAAAUGCA
rnacentral:lncRNA from 1 species